rnacentral:rRNA from 1 species
AGUUUGAUCAUGGCUCAGACGAACGCUGGCGGCGCGUCUUAAACAUGCAAGUCGAACGAUCUGUAGCAAUACAGGGAGUGGCGGACGGGUGAGGAACACGUAGGAAUCUACCUUGAAGAGCGGGACAACUUUGGGAAACCGGGGCUAAUACCGCAUAGUACAGAGAUGUUAAAGGGCUAGCAAUAGUCGCUUCGAGAUGAGCCUGCGGUCUAUCAGCUUGUUGGUGAGGUAAUGGCUCACCAAGGCUACGACGGAUAGCCGGUCUGAGAGGAUGAUCGGCCACACUGGCACUGAGACACGGGCCAGACUCCUACGGGAGGUAGCAGUUAAGAAUCUUGCGCAAUGGGGGAAACCCUGACGCAGCGACGCCGCGUGAAGGAUGAAGGCUUUCGGGUUGUAAACUUCGGUAGACUGGGAAGAGGAAAUACGUUCGUUGAGGGCGUAUAGUGACGGUACCAGUCUGAAGCCCCGGCUAAUUACGUG